UAGGGAAUCUUCGGCAAUGGACGAAAGUCUGACCGAGCAACGCCGCGUGAGUGAAGAAGGUCUUCGGAUCGUAAAACUCUGUUGUUAGAGAAGAACAAGGACGUUAGUAACUGAACGUCCCCUGACGGUAUCUAACCAGAAAGCCACGGCUAACUACGUGCCCGAAGCUGCGGUAAUAUGGAGGUGGCAAGCGUGGUCCGGAUUUAUUUGGCGUAAAGCGAGCGCAGGCGGUUUCUUAAGUCUGUUGUGAAAGCCCCCGGCUCAACCAGGGAGGGUCAUUGGAAACUGGGAUACUUGAGUGCAGGAGAGGAGAGUGGAAUUCCAUGUGUAGGGGUGAAAUGCGUAGAUAUAUGGAGGAACACCAGUGGCGAAGGCGGCUCUCUGGUCUGAAACUGACGCUGAGGCUCGAAAGCGUGGGGAGCAAACAGG
rnacentral:rRNA from 1 species